GUGAAAUGCAAAUGUCCAUCCCAGUUUACAGGGCUCCCGAUGUACUUGUUACCCAUAUUAGUCAAUCCAGAGGUUUUUUUAACUCUUAACUUCCCCUAAAUACCAAUAUGCUACUUCUAAUCAGCAAAAAGCCUAUGAAAACUUUAGAAAAUAGUGCACUCCAACCCUCAGUCUAGAGGAGGGUGGACAUAAAACAUAUGAAUCAGUAUAAAAUCAUAGUUAAAAGAUUCAUCUACCUCCCAUGGUUUCUGGGACUAAAGCUUGACAUGGGCUCAUUUAAAAUAUAUUAACUUCAAGCUUGUCUAGUUUUGAGUUCAUUUACAAUAUCAACAAGCUCAGCUCUUGCUCAACAUGUCCAUUAGCUCAUUUAAAAUAUUAACAAGCCAAGGCCAAGCUUGAGCUCGAUUUCAACAGCUCAUUUAUUAGCUCAUUCACAAUAUUAACAAGCUAAAGUCAAGCUUCGCUCAUUUAUUAGCUUGUUCAUAAACCAGCCAAGCUCAAACUCCACUUGUUUAUUAUCUCAUUUAAGCCCGUGCAUUUAUUACAUCAGACUCAAUAACCUUAUUUAAACAAGCUGAAGCUCAACUCCCAUGAUUCCUUGGUCAUUAAUAAUACAAAAUAACAAGAAAGAAACAGUUUACACACACCACAACUGUAAUACCCGGCUAGACUCCGGUAUCGAAAUUCCUACCGUCCGGUGGAAUCUCGGAUGUCGGAGACCUCUAGAAGGGUAAAACCAUGUUUUCAUGAAAUGUUUUAAUGCUUUUGAUGAUUUUAAGUAAAGAGGAAAUGAGUUUUUGAAUAAGAACACCCUUGGAGGAAAGCUCAGGUUCGGCCGCCGAAACUCAAAGUUCGGCCGCCGAACAUGAAUGCGUUUCGGGUGAGACUUAGGCCCCCGAAGGCAUAAGUGAGGGAAGUCCAGGUUCGGCCGCCGAACCUCAAGUUCGGCCGCCGAACAUGGCAUGCAUACGGAGGCACUUUCGGCCCCCGAACGUGGCCUGGCCAGCCACUAUAAAAGGGUCCCUUAGCCGAAAACGUGCGAGUUUUUCCCCCUUUUCGGCCAAGGUGAGCUCUCCGCCGUCCCUCACCGAUCUUUGAUGUUUUCCCUCUAGAUCUUUCAAGUUUUUCACAAGUUUUUACGUUGUUUUGAAGAUUUUCGAGUUUAAAGCAAGUUUUGGAGCUCUGAGGUUCAAGAACUCAAAAUCUCCCACCUCCGAGUUUAGGACGUCUCUCUCUCGAUCUUCAAGAGGUAAGAGCCGAUCUUAAGCUCAUUUCAUGUUUAAAGUAAGUUUUAUGCAAGAUCUAUGGGGUAGAAUGCAUGUUUAGCUCAUAAUUAGGUUUUUGAGUUUAUGUUGUGUUUUUGAGCAAUGUGUUGUUGUUGUGUGUUGUAGUUGGGGUUUAAGUUAGUUUGAAGCCCCUAGGAGCCAAUGUAUGUAUAUUUGCAUGUUUUGGUUGAGCUAAAUGCAUGAUUGGAAGUUUUGGAGGCAAAUGUGCUUAAAGGAGCCAAGUUUCUGCCCUUUGGCAGAAACCAAGUUCGGCAGCCGAAGGAACUUUCGGCCGCCGAACAUGGCUGGGGAGGCAGGCCUUUCGGCUGCCGAAGUUGCCCCCGAAAAGAGACUUUUGUCUCUGUCUGGGACUUUCGGCCGCCGAAGGUGCCGCCGAACCUGCCUGGGUUUCGGCUCUGGAGGGACUUUCGGCCGCCGAAGGUGCCGCCGAACCUGCCCUGUUCUGCCUUCCUUUGCAUGUUUUUGCAUGGAUGUUUUGAGGUGUUUUAGGGGGUUUUUGGGGGAUGUUUGUAGAGUUAUGUUCUAGUUGUUUGGUCCCUCAUUUGAGUCCACCUGUGUAGAUUCGGACCCGAGGAACCGAGGACCCCAGCAGUGAGUUAGCUGCAUCAGUCUUUGUCAGAGCUAGCCAAGAGGUGAGUAGAAUAAACCUUAUGUUUUUAAAGCAAAUGAAUUAUACAGUUGAGCAUGUUCAUGCAUCAUGAAUGCCAUGUGAUGAAAUAGGUUGUUUGCAUUAGAAUCCACGAAUAUGUUGCAUUGCAUUUAUGAUGUUGAUGUGGAUUGGUUAUUGGAUGAUCCUUUAGUCCUCAUAUGAUAUGAUGAUGCUACGGCAUGGUAUGGUAUGGAAGUCCAGGUUGUACCCAUUCUACGUCCCUGGCAUAUUAGAAUGUUAUGAUAUGUGAUGUUAAGAGAAAGAUCGGUUGUACCCAUUCUACGUCCCGACACUUUGGAAUGUAGAGGACUAUUGGUGACAAUACCAUCCGAGAUGUGAUUUGUUGUGAUGUGUUGCAUUACAUGAUGGCAUGAGAUUUUAAAUAUUGUUUCUAUUAUUCUGCUCACUGGGCUUUUGUAGCUCACCCCUUUCCCUAAUCCCCCAGGAUUGCAGGUUCGGGCUAGACAGCGAAGUCAAGAAGAGUAAAGUCUUGUAUUGUAAUAGUUAGAAAGUGGACAUGAUAAAUUGUUUAAUGAUGUAAAGUUUGAAUAGUCAUGUUAUGUAUAAUGUUAUUGAGGAUUAGAAGUUGUGCUUGACCCUAUGGAUGUUGUUAUCCCUCGUUGAUACAUGAUCUUAAUGUCUAUUGAUGUUCAUGUUUAACCAACUCAACUUAUGAUGUAUCGCCCAUUGGGGCAUUGAUGAGAUCCCAUUGAGGGGUCAAGUUUAUGAUUAAGAUUAUGUUUAGUGCAUGCACAGGUUGAGUUUGGUGUAUGAGGAAUGAAUGAAAGAAAAGUUUUAAUUUUCGUGUAUGAUUGUUGAUCAUGUAUGGGAUUAAACAGGUUUACAGAUUGCAUGUCAGGCUUGCUACGGGUCCCGGCGGCCUUAAGCUGAUCUGGAUCCUAGCGCCGGUAGCGGUCCGAUUUUCGGGUUGUUACAGAAUGGUAUCAGAGCCCUAGGUUCAUAUGGUCGGACCUAGAGUGUCGGGCUCAUAGAGGUUAUAGAAGGUCAAGCACAAUAGGAAGAUCAUGUCCACUAGGAUAGGAUGAGUAGUCCUGUCUUGCUUAAUGAUGUGAAAUGCCAUGACUAUAUGCAUGUGCAUUAAUGAUAUGAAUGAUAUGUAUGUGAUGCGGGUUCAUGUGUGCCCACAUGAACCAUAUGAUGCUAAUGUUUAUGUUAUGUGCUGCCUUUCAGAAAACAGGAUGAGGGGAACUCGUCGAUCAGCAAGAUUGACUGGAGUGCCACCUGAGGAUGAGGGCAUGAGCGCCCGUCCUCCUACAUUGCCUAGGGCAAUGUCUAGUAGGUCUAACAGAGAAAGAGCAGUAAGAGACCCUAGAAGGUCUCUGGAUCUGGGUAGGAGCAGAUCAGUGAGAGGAACAGUUCAGGGAGGAAUGUCAGAAGGCAUGGGGGAUGAUAUGGAUGUAGAACAGAGGAGGGAUGGCAGUUUGGGAGUUAGCAUGUCAGAAGAGGGAAUGGGAGAGUCCCAAGGAGGCACUCAGGCCUCGGGAUUUGUUCAGCCACCCCACUACCCACACUUCUCACAAAAUCCCAGGUAUUCGAUGGGAGGUACAUCGGAUUACCCUAACUUCACCCCUUAUCCCACACAGAUGCCAUACCCACCCUACUACCCACCAUAUUCACAAUACCCAAUGUAUCCACCCCCACCUUACUAUCCAAAUCCAGCAAACCCUACCUCAGAAAAUGUUGCACCACCUACAGAACCAGCAGCCCCAGUUACCCAACCUCUUAGACCUAGCUCAGCCAGUGGGAGCAAGGUCAAGAUGACCGACUAUAUGAAGUUGGGAGCUCCCCAGUAUGAAAAAGGGGAUGACCCGUUUGUGUAUCUUGAGAGGGUUAAGGUGAUCACAUAUGAGAUUGGGGCUGAUGACAGUAGAGCCAUUCAGAUGGCCGGGUUCACUCUUAAGUGUAAGAAGGCGCGAGAGUGGUUCAAGAAUUAUGUGAACCCCAGAGUAGACAGCAUGUCUUGGGAGGAGUUUGCAAACGAGUUUGCAGGAUGGGCUUUCCCAGAUAGUUCAAGGGAACUGAAGAUGAUAGAGUUUGAGCAGUUGAGGCAGACUGAUGAGAUGGGUGUAGAGGAGUUCACAGACAGAUUCUUGGAGCUGUUGCCAUUUGCAGGGCAGAAUCUUGACUCAGACCAAAAAAGGUCAAGGAGGUAUAUCAUGAAACUCCACUCUAGAUAUUCCUCCUUGAUCCAGUCAGCAGAUAGGGAGAGCUUCCACGCCAUAGUGGAUAUGGCCCGGAAAAUGGAGGCCAGUGCCAUCGUUCAGGGAACAGUUAAGCAGUCAGUGGCACAACCUUCUGGUUCCAAGACCCCAGGCUCUUCUUCUUUCAGUGCAACAGCUUCAGGUAGCAAAAAGUGGAGUAACACCACUAGGAAGUCCAAGAAGAACAAGUUUUGGAACAAGGUCAAGUCUAGUCUGGGACUAGGGAGUGGCUCAAGCUCUGGCGCGGAUAAUGCAGUUUGUGCAAAGUGUGGUAGGCUACACAGGGGAGUUUGUCGGGCUGGGACAGUAGCCUGCUUCAGAUGCGAGCAAGAGGGACACAUGGCUCGGGAGUGUCCUAGGGCAGCUUUUGGAGCACAGUCUCAGCAGACGACUUCAGGUAGUGUAGCGCAGCCAGCAGCUCCAGCCAUGACUCAGGCCAGUGGCAGAGGCAGAGGGAGAGGGGCAGCCUCUUCUUCAGCGGGUUUCAGAGGUGAAGGUCCAUCAGCUCCAGCACGGAUCUUCACGAUGACUCAGCAGGAGGCAGAUGCAUCUAACACCGUGGUGGCAGGUAAUUUANNNNNNNNNNNNNNNNNNNNNNNNNNNNNNNNNNNNNNNNNNNNNNNNNNNNNNNNNNNNNNNNNNNNNNNNNNNNNNNNNNNNNNNNNNNNNNNNNNNNNNNNNNNNNNNNNNNNNNNNNNNNNNNNNNNNNNNNNNNNNNNNNNNNNNNNNNNNNNNNNNNNNNNNNNNNNNNNNNNNNNNNNNNNNNNNNNNNNNNNNNNNNNNNNNNNNNNNNNNNNNNNNNNNNNNNNNNNNNNNNNNNNNNNNNNNNNNNNNNNNNNNNNNNNNNNNNNNNNNNNNNNNNNNNNNNNNNNNNNNNNNNNNNNNNNNNNNGCAAGUUUUGGAGCUUUGAGGUUCAAGAACUCAAAAUCUCCCACCUCCGAGUUUAGGACGUCUCUCUCUCGAUCUUCAAGAGGUAAGAGCCGAUCUUAAGCUCAUUUCAUGUUUAAAGUAAGUUUUAUGCAAGAUCUAUGGGGUAGAAUGCAUGUUUAGCUCAUAGUUAGGUUUUUGAGUUUAUGCUGUGUUUUUGAGCAAUGUGUUGUUGUUGUGUGUUGUAGUUGGGGUUUAAGUUAGUUUGAAGCCCCUAGGAGCCAAUGUAUGUAUAUUUGCAUAUUUUGGUUGAGCUAAAUGCAUGAUUGGAAGUUUUGGAGGCAAAUGUGCUUAAAGGAGCCAAGUUUCUGCCCUUUGGCAGAAACCAGGUUCGGCAGCCGAAGGAACUUUCUGCCGCCGAAUAUGGCUGGGGAGGCAAGCCUUUCGGCUGCCGAAGUUGCCCCCAAAAAGAGACUUUCGUCUCUGUCUGGGACUUUCGGCCGCCGAAGGUGCCGCCGAACCUGCCCUGUUCUGCCUUCCUUUGCAUGUUUUUGCAUGGAUGUUUUGAGGUGUUUUAGGGGGUUUUUGGGGGAUGUUUGUAGAGUUAUGUUCUAGUUGUUUGGUCCCUCAUUUGAGUCCACCUGUGUAGAUUCGGACCCGAGGAACCGAGGACCCCAGCAGUGAGUUAGCUGCAUCAGUCUUUGUCAGAGCUAGCCAAGAGGUGAGUAGAAUAAACCUUAUGUUUUUAAAGCAAAUGAAUUAUACAGUUGAGCAUGUUCAUGCAUCAUGAAUGCCAUGUGAUGAAAUAGGUUGUUUGCAUUAGAAUCCACGAAUAUGUUGCAUUGCAUUUAUGAUGUUGAUGUGGAUUGGUUAUUGGAUGAUCCUUUAGUCCUCAUAUGAUAUGAUGAUGCUACGGCAUGGUAUGGUAUGGAAGUCCAGGUUGUACCCAUUCUACGUCCCUGGCACUAUGUAAGAGAAAGUCCAGGUUGUACCCAUUCUACGUCCCUGGCAUAUUGGAAUGUUAUGAUAUGUGAUGUUAAGAGAAAGACCGGUUGUACCCAUUCUACGUCCCGGCACUUUGGAAUGUAGAGGACUAUUGGUGACAAUACCAUCCGAGAUGUGAUUUGUUGUGAUGUGUUGCAUUACAUGAUGGCAUGAGAUUUUAAAUAUUGUUUCUAUUAUUCUGCUCACUGGGCUCUUGUAGCUCACCCCUUUCCCUAAUCCCCCAGGAUUGCAGGUUCGGGCUAGACAGUGAAGUCAAGAAGAGUAAAGUCUUGUAUUGUAAUAGUUAGAAAGUGGACAUGAUAAAUUGUUUAAUGAUGUAAAGUUUGAAUAGUCAUGUUAUGUAUAAUGUUAUUGAGGAUUAGAAGUUGUGCUUGACCCUAUGGAUGUUGUUAUCCCUCGUUGAUACAUGAUCUUAAUGUCUAUUGAUGUUCAUGUUUAACCAACUCAACUUAUGAUGUAUCGCCCAUUUGGGCAUUGAUGAGAUCCCACUGAGGGGUCAAGUUUAUGAUUAAGAUUAUGUUUAGUGUAUGCACAGGUUGAGUUUGGUGUAUGAGGAAUGAAUGAAAGAAAAGUUUUAAUUUUCGUGUAUGAUUGUUGAUCAUGUAUGGGAUUAAACAGGUUUACAGGUUGCAUGUCAGGCUUGCUACGGGUCCCGGCGGCCUUAAGCCGAUCUGGAUCCUAGCGCCGGUAGCGGUCCGAUUUUCGGGUCGUUACAACAACUAAGAUUAAAAAUACAACACCAUAAAUCAAAUAGAACUAAAGUUUUACUAAAUGACAUAAAUCCUAGUAUCAAAUCACUCAAAUUAUUGGAUAGUUCUUACUUAAAGAUUGAAAGUUGAAGAGAGGAAUAAGCUGGAUUUUUGCAUCCACGAACCCUUCUAGUUUUCCAAAGCAGACAUCAAUUUUAGCAAUAUCAAAAUAAAAUAUCAUAGAAAAAUAAAACUUUAAACUCAAAAGAAAAACUACAUCAAAUUACACCUGAAAAUGAACAUAGCAGGGCCCAAACCACUAGGCUAGGAACUUAGGAACAUAUACAUAUAUGCAAGACAAUCUAUUCAAUGGCUGAGACAUUGUGGCUCUUCUUCUAAAGGUUCACUACCUCAAACAUUAAAAAAGAAAAUAAUUCUUUUUCUUUUCCAGCUCCAAAGAGGCAUCACCUUUGGCAUAAUAAAACAGAUUGCCUAUUCACAUAUAUUCCACAAAACCUUCCUCGAAUGUCAAAUCACAUCCCGCUUAGGCAAGAAACACACAAUAUUGAAUUCCCCUUUCACUGAGAUAUGUUUGGGGACAAGAACGCAUCAUUCUUUAUGCUAUGCCUUAUCAACUAGUUCUGGAAUCAAAUCAACUAGCAAAUAGCAACAUGAAAACUUCAGUCCUAAUAGACUACAGGGGAAAUAAAGAUCUUUCCUCCCAAACUUGUAUGCUAGAAGCAAAGAAUAUUCAAAUUUAC
rnacentral:lncRNA from 1 species